GCCAGCAGGCAGCUAGCCAGUGAUGACCAGCUAGCCUGUGAUGACCAACCUGAUUACUGUGGAGACUUCCCUACCCACACCCUCUGGUCCUGGCAUCACACAGCACAGUGUAACCCUUUUGACUGGAGGCUCAGACAGUUCUAUGGUCAAUCAAUCAGCCAUGUGUUUAAGAUGGAGUUCCCAGCACAAGAGUGUUCAGCACAGGAACCCAUUGGGCUAGGACUUAUUCCACACAUGUUUAAGUUGUUGACCUCAUGCUUGGAGAAGG